rnacentral:rRNA from 1 species
UUUUUUUUGAUUAAAUUAGUAUGAUUUAAUAUUUAUUUUAUGAAUUAAGCAAAUUUAAAAUCCCCCCGUUUAUUCAAAACAUCCUCCUUAGUUUUUAUUUUAGAUAUAACCCGCCCCAUGAAUUUUAAAAAGCCCCCGGAAAUUAACCGUGCCAAGGGAGCCCAAAAAUUAGUCCUUUAAUUGAGGUCCGGAAAGAAAGGGUGGGCCGGAAUUUUUCCUUUUUGAAUUUAUUUUUUUGAACCUUAUUUUUUAGUUAAAAAGCCUAAAUGUUGAAGAGGGGCGAAAAGACCCCAAAAAUCCUUAUUUAAAUAAUAAUUAUUUUUUUUUUGUUGUAUUUUUUUAUAUAAAUUAUUUAAAUUUUGUUGGGGUGACCCCUAAACCUUUAAUCUUUUGUUUUUUUUUACCUUUAUUUUUGAUUUUUUGAUUCCUUUUUUUUGAUUAUAAGAUUAAGAUACCUUAGGGAUAACAGCGUUAUUUAAUUGGAGAGUUCAAAUCGAUAAUUAAGUUUGCGACCUCGAUGUUGGAUUAAAAUUUACUGUGGGGUAGGUUUUACAGUGAAGGUCUGU